AAUAGAUACCCGGGUAGUCCUGGCUGUAAACGAUGAGCACUAGCUGGGAGGGACGUAGGUCCUUCCCAACGGAGCGAAAGUGUUAAGUGCUCCGCCUGGGGAGUAUAGUCGCAAGGCUGAAACUCAAAGGAAUUGACGGGGGCUCACACAAGCGGUGGAGCAUGUGGCUCAAUUCGAGGCAACGCGAAGAACCUUAUCCUAGGCUUGACAUGGUUGGAUGAGUUACCUGAAAGGGAUAACUCUGCCUUCGGGUGAAACAAUCACAGGUGCUGCAUGGCUGUCGUCAGCUCGUGUCGUGAGAUGUCGGGUUUAGUCCUUCAACGAGCGAAACCCCUGUCUCCAGUUGCCAGCAUUCAGUUGGGGACUCUGGAGAGACCGCCGGCGUUAAGCCGGAGGAAGGCGGGGACGACGUCAAGUCAUCACGGCCUUUAUGCCUAGGGCUGCACACGUGCUACAAUGGGGCGGACAAAGGGACGCCAACGCGCAAGCGGGAGCAAAUCUCAAAAACCGCCCCCAGUUCAGAUUGC
rnacentral:rRNA from 1 species